AAACUUCUCGGAUUUGGAUUUAACCACGUUGUAGUUAACCCCGUUCAUGAUGCUAUGUUGUUUCAAUACACCAAGAAAACUAUCCUUACUGGAAAACUCCUUACCAACUUCUAAUUCACCCGAAUCUAAUGACGAACUUGUACGGUCACGCCUUUUGUGUGGUAGAUAUGGAAACUUCAAUGCAUCCUCUAUCGAUAAUCGACAUUAUGCAUGUGGGAUGGAGGCGAGUACGCCCUGAAUCGCGGAUCUUCUUUUUCUUCAUCUGAACCCCCUUCAACAUCUUCAUGUUCGUUUGGAAUAGGCUCCGGUUCAGAAAAUAAUACAACUUUUGCAUCAUCUGAGCCGGGUUCUCGAGGUGGAUCUACAUCGGACUCAUCAUCCAACCCACCAUCAUUUGCAACGUACGAGGUCCCAUCGCCG
rnacentral:lncRNA from 1 species